AAUAUUGGACAAUGUUCGAAAGCCUGAUCUAGCCAUGCCUCGUGUGUGAAGAAGGUCUUCGGUUUGUAAAUCAUUUUAAGUUGGGAGGUAGGGACUGAAGCUAAUACCUUCAAUCUCUGACGUUCCCAACAGAAUGAACACCCGCUAACUCUAUGCCAGCAGCCGCGGUAAUACAGAGGGUGCAAGCGUUAAUCGGAAUUACUGAGCGUAAAGCGCGCGUAGGUGGUUCAGUAAGAUGGAAGUGAAAUCCCCGGGCUUAACCUGGGAACUGCUUUCAUAACUGCUGAGCUAGAGUACGGUAGAGGGUAGUGGAAUUUCCUGUGUAGCGGUGAAAUGCGUAGAUAUAGGAAGGAACACCAGUGGCGAAGGCGACUACCUGGACUGAUACUGACACUGAGGUGCGAAAGCGUGGGGAGCAAACAGG
rnacentral:rRNA from 1 species